UCGUAUUUUUCUCUUCAAAACAAAACAAAACCUCUGAACAUCUCAUAUUUCGGACCAAAACAAAACCACCAAGAAUCAAGCAUUCUAGCUCGAGCAUUCUAGCUCGAAUAUCUUCGAAUCCCCCUAUUUCAGACCAAAAAAAUUUGAAUCCCCCUAUUUCAGACCAAAAGAAAUCCAAGAAUCAAGCAACCUAACUCGAAAAAUUCGAAUCCCCCCUCACGGAGACCAAAAAUCAGUAUCUACCUCCUUGAUAUCGAUUUCGAUUCGGUAAACCCUUUUACUAUUUUUCGCCAUUACAACUCUAUUUUAUGAAGAUUUGCUGCAAUUUAUCCAUCUACUUUUUCUAGGUUUUGGCCUUGGAUGAUUUCUGGGUCAUAUUUGGGUUUUUUUCAGUGGGGUUUUUCACCAUGUUUGUUUCUCCAUUCUUCUGCAACACUAAGACCAUGUUACAAUUUGUUUUUGUUUCGUUAUUUUUUGUUGAAUUAGUGUCUUCAAUAUUUGAUUUUUCAAGUGGGUUUUACAUAUCUAAGUAGAAUAGUAGCGGUUCACGGACAAAUUUAUGUAUUUUUGAAGACGAAAUACAAGUGUUGUGAUUAUCCUAUGGCUAUUUUAAUAUCUUAGUUUUUGUUUGAAAUUUUAAAUUUUACUGUUUUUUGCUGCAAGGAUUAUGCCUGAUUGCAUGAGGGGAUUUUUUUUUCAAGUUGUCUUGUAUAUUUGUUGGUACAUCUAGGAUUCAAGUCCUAGAGAGCUCUGUCUAGUAUUGAGUUUACAUAUAUGUUAAAGAUUUGAUCUAAAUAGUCAUUUUUGUAAUAGGUGCUUUCUUUGAUCUAACAG
rnacentral:lncRNA from 1 species